rnacentral:rRNA from 1 species
AUUGAACGCUGGCGGCAUGCCUAACACAUGCAAGUCGAACGGUAACAGGCGAUCGGGUGCUCACGGGUGGCGGAGGGGGGCGUAAGGGAACGGAACGUAUACAGCGGCGGGGGAUAAGGGAGCGAAAGCUGUGACCAUACCGCAUGCGAGCUGAGGAUGAAAGCGGGAGAGCGAGCAGGAGUGUUACGCCUCGCGCCUUUGGAAUGGGCGGUGCCGGAUUAGCUAGUUGGUGGGGUAAAGGCCUACCAAGGCGACGAUCCGUAGCUGGUCUGAGAGGACGACCAGCCACACUGGAACUGAGACACGGUCCAGACUCCUACGGGAGGCAGCAGUGGGGAAUAUUGGACAAUGGGCGCAAGCCUGAUCCAGCAAUGCCGCGUGCGUGAAGAAGGCCUUCGGGUUGUAAACCUCUUUUGUUAGGAAAGAAACGGUGUCCGCUAAUACCGGGCGCUAAUGACGGUACCUACAGAAUAAGCACCGGCUAACUACGUG